UAAUUAAAUAAUUAGUUUCAACUGUGAUAUAGAAUAAAUUUCUGACGACAAAACAUCUGAAUAUAUGAAAGGAACAUCAAACCCUAGAUUCAGACAAAUCCAAUCAAUACAGAAAACCAAAGUAUAUAAAGUUCUGAAAGAAACAUUUAACCCUAGAUACAGACAAUUCUAAUUAAUACAAGCAUCCAAUACAUACACUCAAAUGGAAAUACUUCGGUUUUGUGUUCUCAAGAACAACAUUUAUUCUUUACAUGCUUAUAGUACUCGCCUUCUUAAUGAUUUCACAAACUUACACCAACAUAGAUUUGGGUUCAACAGGCAACAGAAAGAAAGAGAAACCUUAGUAAUUAUGCUUCUAGAGGGGGGGGGGGCAUGAAUUUAUUUUCAAGCAAGAAAAGAGAAUCAAAUCACAUGCUAAGAAAUGAUCUUACCAUGUUCUUUAAUCAGUAGACAAUCACCAUAUCCAAAGCAAAACAAACCAUUUGAAAUUUCUCGAAGUAGAUGCAAAUUUAGCAAAGACUCAUCAAUUGAGUGCGCAAGUGAAGAAUCUUGAAUAAUUUGUAGAUAGAUAGAUCUUAAUUUUAUCGGACCGACAUGCUUCAAUUCCCCGGAGAAGAAGAGAAGAAGAGAAGAAGAAGAAGAAGAAAUCCAUUGCAGACUCAUGGCUCAAAGAUGAUCAGAAACAGAAAGUAGGGUUUCUUCUUCUUCAAUGAACCCAUCUUCAAUAUCGCCAGUUUUUUCUCUCCUUUUCUUCCUUUUUCUUGCUCUGAUCUUUGAGUUUGUAGAUGGGGUUCGUUGAUGGUAAAAGAAUGUCUUGUAGUGAUGAUGAGAGUGUGCGACUAAUGAUGAAAUACAAAGUUUGGAGGACAUGAUGAUUACUGCGCAGGUGUUUUUCUUCGAAAUAAGGGGAAAAUCCAAAGCAAAAAUUAAGGUAUAUAACUGCAAAUAACCUCAGAUAAGAUCUUGAUCUUCCCCUACAGAUUAUAGAUGGAGAGAGAGAGAGGGGGAGAGAGAGAGAGAGAGAGAGACUUAACCUUAUCUUUUUUAUCUUUAUUAUGUAGUUUUAUAUGUUGUCCCUAAUUAUAGUUUCUUUAGGUGUUAGGAAGAGAAUGUGAUUUACUUUGUAUUAACUUUUUCUUAGUAUUUUUUCUCUCCUUUUUCUACUACUUUUCCUCGAGAGAG
rnacentral:lncRNA from 1 species